CGCGGGGUGGAGCAGUUGGCAGCUCGUCGGGCUCAUAACCCGAAGGUCGGAGGUUCAAAUCCUUCCCCCGCAACCA
rnacentral:tRNA from 1 species